AGUGAACGCUGGCGGUAGGCCUAACACAUGCAAGUCGAACGGCAGCACAGUAGGAGCCUGCUGGUAGGGGGGGGGAGUGGCGGGAGGGAGAGGAAGAAACAGGACUCUACGUUUUGGUGAGCGAGGCGGAAGGGGAAUUAACGCUAAUAACGCAUACGACCUGAGGGUGAAAGAAGUGGAUCUUUCGAGCUAUCGCGUUUGCCUGUGCCGAUGUCGGAUUAGCUAGUUGGAGGGGUAAACCCCCGCCAAGGCGACGAGCCGUAGCUGGUCUGAGAGGAUCACCAGCCACACUGGGACUGAGACACGGCCCAGACUCCUACGGGAGGCAGCAGUGGGGAAUAUUGGACAAUGGGCGAAAGCCUGAUCCAGCAAUGCCGCGUGGGUGAAGAAGGCCUUCGGGUUGUAAAGCCCUUUUGUUGGGAAAGAAAAGCAUCAGGUUAAUACCGUGGUGUGAUGACGGUACCGAAAGAAUAAGCACCGGCUAACUACGUG
rnacentral:rRNA from 1 species